rnacentral:misc_RNA from 1 species
CCGAGUUAGGGUCUUGUAGUACAGGCUCGACCUCCAACCCUUUGUCUACUAUACCUUUUGUUGCUUCGGCGAGCCCGUCUCUUGAAAUAUAGAGGCCGCCGGGGGUUUUAAACCCCUAGUCCGUGCUCGUCGAUAGCCAUUAUGAAACUCUUGUUUUAACUGUGUCGUCUAAGUAAAAACAUUUAAUUAAACCA